GACGAACGCUGGCGGCGUGCUUAACACAUGCAAGUCGAACGGAAAGGCCCUGCUUUUGUGGGGUGCUCGAGUGGCGAACGGGUGAGUAACACGUGAGUAACCUGCCCUUGACUUUGGGAUAACUUCAGGAAACUGGGGCUAAUACCGGAUAGGAGCUCCUGCUGCAUGGUGGGGGUUGGAAAGUUUCGGCGGUUGGGGAUGGACUCGCGGCUUAUCAGCUUGUUGGUGGGGUAGUGGCUUACCAAGGCUUUGACGGGUAGCCGGCCUGAGAGGGUGACCGGCCACGUUGGGACUGAGGUACGGCCCAGAGUCCUACGGGAGGCAGCAGUGGGGAAUAUUGCACAAUGGGCGGAAGCCUGAUGCAGCAACGCCGCGUGCGGGAUGACGGCCUUCGGGUUGUAAACCGCUUUCGCCUGUGACGAAGCGUGAGUGACGGUAAUGGGUAAAGAAGCACCGGCUAACUACGUG
rnacentral:rRNA from 1 species